CAGUUAAAAAGCUCGUAGUCGGAUUUCAGUAUUAGGCCCUUCUUCCAAUACGGUUGCUAGUGGUCUUUACUUCCUUAACAGAAUCUUUCAUCUCAUUAAUUUGGGGUGUUUGGGGCCUGUUUCUUUUACUUUGAGAAAAUUAGAGUGUUCAAAGCGGGUUUUCGCCUGGAUAUUACUCUUGGAAUAAUAAUAUAGGACUUUGGUUCUUUUUUGUUGGUGACUUAGAACCGAAGUAAUGAUUGAUAGGGACAGUUGGGGUCAUUCGUACUAUGAAGCGAGAGGUGAAAUUCAUGGACCUUUGUAUGACGAACUACUGCGAAAGCAUUUGACUAGGAUGUUCCCGUUGAUCAAGAACGAAAGUUGGGGGAUCGAAGACGAUCAGAUACCGUCGUAGUCUCAACCAUAAACUAUGCCAGCUAGGGAUUGGAGGUAGAUCAUUUUACGUCUCCUUCAGCACCUUAUGAGAAAUCAAAGCAUUUGGGUUCCGGGGGGAGUAUGGUCGCAAGGCUGAAACUUAAAGGAAUUGACGGGAGGGCACCACCAGGAGUGGAGCCUGCGGCUUAAUUUGAUUCAACACGGGAAAACUUACCAGGUCCGGACAUGGGAAGGAUUGACAGAUUGAAAGCU
rnacentral:rRNA from 1 species